CCUCCAGAGAGGCAGGACUUAGCUGGCUCUGUGAACAGGUCUCACUGGAUUUGAUGUUCACAGUGGCUAAGUUCCAACUCACUG